CAACCUGCCCACCACUUGGGGAUAACCUUGCGAAAGUAAGACUAAUACCCAAUGAUAUCUCUAGAAGACAUCUGAAGGAGAUUAAAGAUUUAUCGGUGAUGGAUGGGGAUGCGUCUGAUUAGCCUGUUGGCGGGGUAACGGCCCACCAAGGCUACGAUCAGUAGGGGUUCUGAGAGGAAGGUCCCCCACAUUGGAACUGAGACACGGUCCAAACUCCUACGGGAGGCAGCAGUGAGGAAUAUUGGUCAAUGGGCGAGAGCCUGAACCAGCCAAGUAGCGUGCAGGAUGACGGCCCUAUGGGUUGUAAACUGCUUUUAUAAGGGAAUAAAGUGAGUCUCGUGAGACUUUUUGCAUGUACCUUAUGAAUAAGGACCGGCUAAUUCCGUGCCAGCAGCCGCGGUAAUACGGAAGGUCCGGGCGUUAUCCGGAUUUAUUGGGUUUAAAGGGAGCGUAGGCCGGAGAUUAAGCGUGUUGUGAAAUGUAGAUGCUCAACAUCUGCACUGCAGCGCGAACUGGUUUCCUUGAGUACGCACAAAGUGGGCGGAAUUCGUGGUGUAGCGGUGAAAUGCUUAGAUAUCACGAAGAACUCCGAUUG
rnacentral:rRNA from 1 species